AAAGACAUUGCUGCCCGAACAAAGAAUAUGGUUGUAAAGGUGCGCCAUGUAGAUGCUCAUGUGCCCAAGAGUCGGGCUACUGAAGAACAGCAAAACAACCAUCAGGUAGACCGAGCUGCCAGAAUUGAGGUGGCUCAAAUAGACCUGGACUGGCAGAACAAGGGUGAAUUAUUUCUAGCUCGGUGGGCCCAUGAGACCUCAGGUCAUCAAGGAAGAGAUGCAACAUACAAAUGGGCUAGAGACCGAGGGGUGGACUUAACUAUGGAUGCCAUUGCACAGGUUAUUCAUAACUGUGAAACAUGUGCCAUCAUCAAACAAGCCAAGAGGAUGAAACCUCUGUGGGAGGAAGGGCGAUGGCAAAAGUACAAAUAUGGGGAGGCAUGGCAGGUUGAUUAUAUCACCUUGCCACGAUCUCGCAAUAGUAAGCAUUAUGUGCUUACUAUGGUGGAGGCAACCACUGGGUGGCUUGAAACAUAUGCAGUACCCCAUGCUACUGCCCGAAACACCAUACUGGGUACCAUAGUGGGUCUCGAGAAACAACUCCUGUGGCGACAUGGCACCCCAGAAAGGAUUGAGUCUGAUAAUGGGACUCAUUUCAAAAAUUCUCUUGUAAAUACUUGGGCCAAAGAUCAUGGCACUGAGUGGAUUUACCAUAUUUCCUAUCAUGCACCAGCCUCUGGUAAAAUUGAACGAUACAAUGGUUUGUUAAAAACGAUGCUAAAAGCACUGGGUGGCGGAACAUUUAAGCACUGGGAGAAGCAUUUGGCAGAAGCCACCUGGUUAGUCAAUACCAGAGGAUCUGUCAAUCGUGAUGGUCCUAACCAGUGCAGUUCCCUACAUACCGUAGAGGGAGAUAAAGUCCCCAUUGUACAUGUAAAGAACAUGUUAGGAAAGGCAGUUUGGGUUCUUCCAGCUUCUGGAAAGGGCAAACCUCUCCGUGGUACAGUUUUUGCCCAGGGACCAGGAUCCACUUGGUGGGUAAUGCAGAAGAAUGGGCAUGUUCAGUGUGUACCACAAGGAAACUUGAUGCCGGGGGAGUGCAGUUAGUAAUUCCAUGUAUAUGUGUAUAGCCAUAUGUGUGUAAUGCAUUUUAAUCAUUUUUUUUUGUUUGUAUAUAUGUAUAUAUAUUUUAAGCAUGAUGUAACGAUGUAGAAUAAGGGGUGGACUGGGGUGGGGGGGGAGGGCAGAGGCCUGUCGCCCCUGUCACGGACAUAGAUUGAUCUAGUCAACUCCUUGACAUUCAAUAGUAUCCCAAAAAGGGAGAGAGUUUCGGAAAUCGAGAGAGAGUUUCUGAGAGUUGAGAGGGAGAAUCUUUGGGCUGAGCGAGAGAGUCUUUUGGCUGAGAGAAAAGACCUCCAAUCUGAGAGGGAUAUCCUCAAGUCCGAGAGAGAUGCCCUCCAAAUCGAGAGACUCCCUGCAAUCCCAAAGAGAGAGUCUCCAGGCUGAAAAGGAUAGUCUUCUAGCCAGGAGAGAGAAUCUCAAAACCUGGCAAGAGUGUCUCUGAGCUGAGAAAGAAAGUCUCCAAGCCAAAGGGAAGAAUCUCCGAGCUGAGAGAAGGCAUCUCCAAUCUCGACAAUAUGCCUUCGAAUCCGAGCGAGACUCCCUCCAAUCCAAGUUUGACACCUUCCAAUCUUAACAGGACACCCUCGAAUCUGAACUAAAUAAUCUCAUAGUCGAACAACACAGACUCCAAGAAGAGCUAGAGGGUGAGAGCAUUAAAAACAACCAACCUGAUCAACCGCAAGAGGCACCACAAUUGAUGUCAGUUGCCCCUGUAAGAGGACGGAAAAUGAAACGUAUCUCAACUCAGUUAGAAGAGAAGAAAGAGGAGGAAAGAGGUCCAGAGGAGUGUCUCCGAGGUCUAGGAGAAGCACCUCUGAGUCCAGGGGAGGGGCCCUCAGUAAGACCACGGUCACCAAUGCCUACGAGGGCAAAAAGAAGUCCUGAAAGAGGAAUAGGUGAGCAAGAUAUUGUUAUCCUUGUUGAUCGAUCU